rnacentral:rRNA from 1 species
UUGUAGCCUGCUAUGGUAUAACUUAGUGGCAGACGGGUGAGUAAUGUAUAGGAAUCUACCUAGUAGUAUGGAAUAAUUGUUGGAAACGGCAACUAAUACCGUAUACGCCCUACGGGGGAAAAAUUUAUUGCUAUUGGAUGAGCCUAUAUUAGAUUAGCUAGUUGGUGGAGUAAUAGCCUACCAAGGCAAUGAUCUAUAGCUGAUCUGAGAGGAUGAUCAGCCACACUGGAACUGAGAUACGGUCCAGACUCCUACGGGAGGCAGCAGUGGGGAAUAUUGGACAAUGGGCGAAAGCCUGAUCCAGCCAUGCCGCAUGAGUGAAGAAGGCCUUUGGGUUGUAAAGCUCUUUUAGUGAGGAAGAUAAUGACGGUACUCACAGAAGAAGUCCUGGCUAACUCCGUGCCAGCAGCCGCGGUAAUACGGAGAGGGCUAGCGUUAUUCGGAAUUAUUGGGCGUAAAGGGCGCGUAGGCUGGUUAAUAAGUUAAAAGUGAAAUCCCGAGGCUUAACCUUGGAAUUGCUUUUAAAACUAUUAAUCUAGAGAUUGAAAGAGGAUAGAGGAAUUCCUGAUGUAGAGGUAAAAUUCGUAAAUAUUAGGAGGAACACCAGUGGCGAAGGCGUCUAUCUGGUUCAAAUCUGACGCUGAAGCGCGAAGGCGUGGGGAGCAAACAGGAUUAGAUACCCUGGUAGUCCACGCUGUAAACGAUGAAUGUUAAAUAUGGGAAGUUUACUUUCUGUAUUACAGCUAACGCGUUAAACAUUCCGCCUGGGGACUACGGUCGCAAGAUUAAAACUCAAAGGAAUUGACGGGGACCCGCACAAGCGGUGGAGCAUGUGGUUUAAUUCGAUGCAACGCGAAAAACCUUACCACUUCUUGACAUGAAUAGGUAUGAUUUUCAUGU